rnacentral:rRNA from 1 species
GUCGAGCGGGGAAAGGUAGCUUGCUACCUGACCUAGCGGCGGACGGGUGAGUAAUGCUUAGGAAUCUGCCUAUUAGUGGGGGACAACAUCUCGAAAGGGAUGCUAAUACCGCAUACGUCCUACGGGAGAAAGCAGGGGACCUUCGGGCCUUGCGCUAAUAGAUGAGCCUAAGUCGGAUUAGCUAGUUGGUGGGGUAAAGGCCUACCAAGGCGACGAUCUGUAGCGGGUCUGAGAGGAUGAUCCGCCACACUGGGACUGAGACACGGCCCAGACUCCUACGGGAGGCAGCAGUGGGGAAUAUUGGACAAUGGGGGGAACCCUGAUCCAGCCAUGCCGCGUGUGUGAAGAAGGCCUUUUGGUUGUAAAGCACUUUAAGCGAGGAGGAGGCUACCGAGAUUAAUACUCUUGGAUAGUGGACGUUACUCGCAGAAUAAGCACCGGCUAACUCUGUGCCAGCAGCCGCGGUAAUACAGAGGGUGCAAGCGUUAAUCGGAUUUACUGGGCGUAAAGCGCGCGUAGGUGGCCAAUUAAGUCAAAUGUGAAAUCCCCGAGCUUAACUUGGGAAUUGCAUUCGAUACUGGUUGGCUAGAGUAUGGGAGAGGAUGGUAGAAUUCCAGGUGUAGCGGUGAAAUGCGUAGAGAUCUGGAGGAAUACCGAUGGCGAAGGCAGCCAUCUGGCCUAAUACUGACACUGAGGUGCGAAAGCAUGGGGAGCAAACAGG